rnacentral:misc_RNA from 1 species
AAGUCGUAACAAGGUUUCCGUAGGUGAACCUGCGGAAGGAUCAUUAUUGAGUUUAAAACGGGUUGUUGCUGGUCUCCUCGGAGGCAAUGUGCACGCUCAUUUCAUCUCUAAACCCCUUCACUGUGCACACUCUGUAGGCUGAGAGUCCUUUCACAGGGACUCGAGUGCUUACGUCUUUUUUGACGCACCCCCUUUACGAAUGUCUAUGAAUGUAUUAGUAUGGCUCUGUUCAUUCAGGCCUGCAACCAAAUAUACAACUUUCAACAACGGAUCUCUUGGUUCUC